rnacentral:rRNA from 1 species
UGAUACCGCAUAACAUUGUAGUUUCGCAUGAAACAGCAAUUAAAGGAGUAAUCCGCUAUGAGAUGGACCCGCGGCGCAUUAGCUAGUUGGUGAGGUAACGGCUCACCAAGGCGACGAUGCGUAGCCGACCUGAGAGGGUGAUCGGCCACAUUGGAACUGAGACACGGUCCAGACUCCUACGGGAGGCAGCAGUGGGGAAUAUUGCACAAUGGGGGAAACCCUGAUGCAGCAACGCCGCGUGAGUGAUGAAGGCCUUCGGGUUGUAAAGCUCUGUCUUUGGGGACGAUAAUGACGGUACCCAAGGAGGAAGCCACGGCUAACUACGUGCCAGCAGCCGCGGUAAUACGUAGGUGGCAAGCGUUGUCCGGAUUUACUGGGCGUGAAGGGAGCGUAGGCGGACAUUUAAGUGGGAUGUGAAAUACUCGGGCCUAACCUGAGUGCUGCAUUCCAAAACUGGAUAUCUAGAGUGCAGUAGAGGAAAGUAGAAUUCC